UUAGGUUUAGUCCAAUAAAAGUUUAUUACCCAUAAUUAAGCAUAACCCAAAAUCAAAAUCAAGUUCAACUUCAAUACUCUUUGAGUUGUAUGUGAUCUCUUUUUGUUUGUCUUUUAUCAUAUUGUGAGAUUUUUAGGAACGAGGAAGAACAAGCCGUUGAGAGAAUUGAUGGAGAUGGAGGAGUUCGAGUUCCAUCACUGGUGGAGCUUACGGUUGUUGGAAGUGUAAAAGGAGGAGAUGAAGCUUUACAGGAGAGGAUUCGUCAUCCGGUUUGUCAGGGACCAACUGAAAAUGGGCAAAUUGAUGUUCAAUUUCAGGAUCUGCAUAGCGCAAGAAGACGUUCGAGCAAGCCCGACUUCAGCUGGUCAUCACUUUGUCUUCUAAUGCUAUGAUAAUUUCCAAGCUAAUGAUGGCCUUGACUGUUCACUUAGUGAACUGAAGAAAAAGAAGUCAGUUGAACCAAACUCAUUGAAUGAAGCUCGUCAUAUAUUUAACUUCCUUCACAAAGGUGACAUUGCUGCUGUCAAACAAUUUACGGUAACACCUGAACCCAAAAAAAAAGGGUUAUGCAUACAAAGAGAAAGAGAACACUAAAACCAUGAGCCAUUUUCUAGUAGCUAAAGAUGAUGGAGACGGAACUUACUUGAGAGUUUGGGAUACACACUGGAGUAUAUAGAGAGACAUGAGAGAGUUAUAUAUAUGUUAAUUAUGUAAAUAAGGUUGGUUGACGCAUGAGACACUGGGAUUAGACGCAAUAUGAAUCUGACUUGACUAAAA